rnacentral:misc_RNA from 1 species
GUAGGUGAACCUGCGGAAGGAUCAUUAACACAACUGUGAGACCCAACAUCAACCAACCCGUGAACUUGUUAAGCCAGUCAGCUGAGGUGGGAUUGUUCGAUUGUGUGCGUGGCAAGUGGUCAUACACUAGCCGGUCGAACUACGCCGGGCCGGGAGGCCGCCGAGUCUGAUUUGGUCAACCGUACCCCUUAAUCUGCGCAAGCUAACCUGUGGCCGUGUGUCGGUGCACUGACCCGCACAGGUGGGGACACCCCUUUUACUAACGUAAAAACCUAUACUUUGCCCAUGUGCUGAUUCAGCAUUUUUCCAACGUAUCGUCAGGCUAUUGCGGCUUGGUGGUGCACUCCACUUGCGAUCGAAAGGUCCGAGUAGAGGCUGAGGAGAAGUGUCUAUAUACUUUAACGUAUGUACAACUCUUAGCAAUGGAUAUCUUGGUUCUC